AUGGCAGGAGACGUCAUCAGGCCGGUCCAUAACCCUGGCAGCAUCAUCCAGCGCCCAAGUCCUUCACACAAAGCAGGUGUCUAUCCAUUGAUUGCCAGGUGUGGCCGCUACUGUUGCCUUUGGACAGAGGACCCUACGGGGAUGGGGCUGAGCAGCAUGCUAGAUAUCUCCAAGUGCCCGUCAGGUACCAAUCCCUAUGCUUUGGAGAGACAAUGUGACUUGGAGCUUCCGGCUUGGCUACAACCUGCAUUCACUAGGAGAGCACACAGUGGGCGUCUUCCCUGCAUGGUGCACAGGAGCAGGCUUGUGUCUGAGUGAGAGUUUUAUAAGGCCAGCUGGACCCCAGGGUGGUGCUGUACCAGAUGGAGUAACUGAGAACAGAGUCGGGAGACAGCUCGCUCGGGAAUCCAGAACGACAGAAUGAUUUGAUGGUGGAGCCAAGACUCAGUUCUUACUUCCUGCCUCAAAAUCCAAUGCAACCCAGGAAUGACCUUUCUGGGCAAUGUUAGAAACGUGACCAUAUGAAAUGGAGAAUUUAGAUCGCAAUUCCCUGGACCACAUCCAGGACACUAAAAUGACUGUGCUGCUCUUGUAAAAUGCAUUCUAAGAAUUAUUUACUGUUCUGAAUGUAAUUUAGGGUAAAGCAGAUCUUCUUUGGAGACUCCAGGCUAAUCCCACAUUUCUUCCCCACCCAAGCCCUGUGGACAAUGACUUGCAUUAACCCCUACAGGGUGCAGAGCACUGCUGUGCCUCAUGUUUAUAAAGAAGGCGAGAUGAGAAGGAACCACCCUUGAAAGAGCAGCAUGAGGAUGAAUACAAAGGCCCCAGCCUGUACAUAAAUAGCCCUGUAUAUGUGGGUCU
rnacentral:lncRNA from 13 species